ACACCAAUAGUGUAGAGGUUAUCACACGGGAUUCUGAUAUAUAUAACAACUUUUUCUGGAUUUCCCGUGACCCAGGUUCGAGUCCUGGUUGGACCU